CGCGGUAAUACGGAGGGUGCAAGCGUUAUCCGGAUUUAUUGGGUUUAAAGGGUGCGUAGGCGGUUUGAUAAGUCAGCGGUGAAAUAUUUCAGCUUAACUGGAAGGGUGCCGUUGAUACUGUCAGGCUUGAAUUUAGUUGCUGUGGGUGGAAUGUGUGGUGUAGCGGUGAAAUGCAUAGAUAUCACACAGAAUAUCGAUUGCGAAGGCAGCUCACAAAGCUAAAAUUGACGCUGAUGCACGAAAGUGUGGGGAUCAAACAGGAUUAGAUACCCUGGUAGUCCACACUGUAAACGAUGAUAACUCGCUGUCGGCGAUACAUAGUCGGUGGCCAAGCGAAAGCGAUAAGUUAUCCACCUGGGGAGUACGACCGCAAGGUUGAAACUCAAAGGAAUUGACGGGGGCCCGCACAAGCGGAGGAACAUGUGGUUUAAUUCGAUGAUACGCGAGGAACCUUACCCGGGCUCGAACGGUGCAUGAAUGAUUCAGAGAUGGAUUAGUCCUUCGGGACAUGUAUCGAGGUGCUGCAUGGUUGUCGUCAGCUCGUGCCGUGAGGUGUCGGCUUAAGUGCCAUAACGAGCGCAACCCUUGUCGUUAGUUACCAUCAAGUAAUGUUGGGGACUCUAGCGAGACUGCCACCGUAAGGUGUGAGGAAGGGGGGGAUGACGUCAAAUCAGCACGGCCCUUACGUCCGGGGCGACACACGUGUUACAAUGGUAGGUACAGAGGGCAGCUACCCAGUGAUGGGGUGCGAAUCUCAAAAACCUAUCUCAGUUCGGAUUGGAGUCUGCAACUCGACUCCAUGAAGUUGGAUUCGCUAGUAAUCGCGCAUCAGCCAUGGCGCGGUGAAUACGUUCCCGGGCCUUGUACACACCGCCCGUCAAGCCAUGGAAGCCGGGGGUGCCUGAAGU
rnacentral:rRNA from 1 species